AGGCUGGGAGUUGGACUCAGUGGUUUCUUGAGAUCCCUUCCAACCCCUGUGAUUCUGUGGAAGGAAAUGCCAAACCUGGUCCUGCAAAAGAAGUUGUUAAGAAUAGCCCUGGUGGUUGUAAACCUCUGGCAUGGACUGAUCAAAGUAAUGAGCCUCAGUCUGUAAAAAUCAGGAGGGAUGAUUCUGUUCCCAUCAGCAGGAAAAUAUUAUGGAAGCCUGGCAGCAUCUCAGGAAGCCUCUGCAGAAAGAUUUCUGAGUUUCCCACCCAGCAAUGCAUUCAGGAAAGGACACGCCAAACCUGCCCUAAAUUCCCGGAC
rnacentral:lncRNA from 1 species